UACGUAGGGUGCAAGCGUUGUCCGGAAUUAUUGGGCGUAAAGAGCUCGUAGGCGGUCUGUCGCGUCUGCUGUGAAAACUCAGGGCUUAACCCUGAGCUUGCAGUGGGUACGGGCAGACUAGAGUGCGGUAGGGGAGACUGGAAUUCCUGGUGUAGCGGUGAAAUGCGCAGAUAUCAGGAAGAACACCAAUGGCGAAAGCAGCUUUCUGGGACGGUACUGACGCUGGAGACGCGAAAGCGUGGGGAGAACAGG
rnacentral:rRNA from 1 species